GAUGAACGCUGGCGGCGUGCCUAACACAUGCAAGUCGAACGGAGUUAUUUUGGAAACUUCUUCGGAAGUGGAAUCUUUAACUUAGUGGCGGACGGGUGAGUAACGCGUGAGCAAUCUGCCUUUAGGAGGGGGAUAACAGUCGGAAACGGCUGCUAAUACCGCAUAAUGUAUGUCCUUCGCAUGUUGGACAUACCAAAGGAGCAAUCCGCCUUUAGAUGAGCUCGCGUCUGAUUAGCUAGUUGGCGGGGUAACGGCCCACCAAGGCGACGAUCAGUAGCCGGACUGAGAGGUUGAACGGCCACAUUGGGACUGAGACACGGCCCAGACUCCUACGGGAGGCAGCAGUGGGGAAUAUUGCGCAAUGGGGGCAACCCUGACGCAGCAACGCCGCGUGAUUGAAGAAGGCCUUCGGGUUGUAAAGAUCUUUAAUCAGGGACGAAAUUUGACGGUACCUGAAGAAUAAGCUC
rnacentral:rRNA from 1 species